CUCAAAUAGAGCAGACGAUUGCAACAUCCAAAUAAGGAAGGAGAUUACGAAAAUUUUUCGAUUUUUGAAUCAUUCUUGAUUCCAUAUCUAUAUUAAAAGUUUAAUUUGAAUUUUUGACAGAAUCCAAAGGAAGAAGUAGAUUGCAACUUUCAAAUAAAAAAGAAGGAUCAAAAUGAGGAAGGAGAUUCCAACAUCGAUAAAAAAAGAGGAUCCAAAUGAGGAAGG
rnacentral:lncRNA from 1 species